CCUGGCCACCCCUCUGCCUGGGUCCCACGGGGCUGCUUCAGGUUCCCAUCUGGCUCAUGGGUGAAGGUGUCCAGAGCUGCACUGGGUUGCUGUUGCUGCACUGGGGAUUGAACCCCAGGGUCCCACCCAAGAUAGGCAAACCGUCUAUCACCGAGCCACGUCCCCAGCCCUUAAUGUUUUGAGAGAAUCUCACUAAGCUGCCCAGGCUGCCCCCAAAUUUAAGAUUCUCCUGCCUCAGCCUCCCCACUACCCAUAGGUGUGGCCUCGGCCCCUGGCUUGCAUCUGAGGGCUCAGCAUAUGAUAAGCAUAAAUUAUCUUGUUCAGUUCUUGCAAAUACCCUCUGAGGUGGGCAAGAAAAUCACCAUUUGAUUCAAAGGAAUUCAAUACUCAGAAGUACCCUGAGCCACUGGCCCAGCAUCACAGAGCCACUGAGUGGUGGCGCUGGCCUGCCUGACUCCAAAGCUCUGACCACUCACUGACAUGGCUUCUCCUGAUCAGUAUUAUUGGGAGGCAGGAAGAAAUGUUGAUGGUGGUUUGUUGGGUUAAACAGCGCCUGCUGCGCUCUGGAUCUGAGCCAUAUAACACAUGAAUCAGAGAUCCCUGGGCCCCUUCUGGAAGCCUCCACCCAACCGUCCACUUCCCCACCUAAUUGUGGAAAAGGCUUAUUGACACCAGAGCCCUCCGUUGCCAGGCUCCACCCCCCACACACCCACCGCUCUCUGGGCCCCCCUGGGAAUCUCUUCCCUCUGCACCAGGCCAGCCGGACAGAGCUGAGCGGUCACCUGAGAGCACAGAGCCAGAUGGCUUCCUGAGCAGGAGGGACCGUCAGCCCUCAGGAGCCCCUCUGAUUUGCACUGGCCAUAAAGAGUGGGAACUGGAAAGCAGCUGGGCAGGCCCUGACCUCAGGUCCAGGCCUUGCUCUUCACAGCUGCAUGACCUUGCCAAACUCGCUGCGCCCAGUAGUCAGGAAGCUGGUGUUCAAAUCCUUGAUGUAAGGAAGAAGGUAAGGAAGAGUUCUUCACCAGCGCUGACCCGAGGGCUUAAAGAUACACCCGCGGCUCCCACAAGCUGCCCUUCUCUCACCCCAAAGAGACCCUGCCCCCUCCUGCCCUCAUCACAUCCAUGGAUUCUCUGGGGCUCAGUGCUGGCCAUCUGGUAG
rnacentral:lncRNA from 1 species